CAGGUAGGACUCCCGUCCCCUUUCUCAUUGGGGGACAGCUUUCGAACCGCCCCAGAAGAGAAUCUGGGGAGACCAAGACUCAAAAAAGCGUAGGGGUAUAGGUCUGCCCUGUCAUUGACGUAGCCCCUGCUACUACACAUAGCCGGGUGCAGCCGACAGAUGGGCGUAGUCAGUGCCUCCGGGCCCAGUGAACGAAUCCCUUUCUUUCUCCUCUGAGGCGCCACAGGAUCUUUCGGACGCCUGCUUCCGAAAGACGAAACCCCGCGGACACGCACACUCGAAUCCUGGGCUCCGCGUCCCAGCGCUCUCUGUAGCACACCAAGGGCCGCGGCCAUCGGUGUUCUGGACCUGAACAGGCUUGAGCUUUUCCCAGGCCUGAGGCGAGGUUCGAGGACGCGUAGAUACCCAAGUCCCAGGUCGCGCCCCGCGUGCGGCCGGCGAGGUGCGGGCCUCGGGCACGGCGCCCCGCCCAGGCCCCGAGCCGCGUGCAGGGGCGCGGGGCGGAGUCUGCCCUGGGGGCGUGGCCCAGCCGCAGGCCCGAAGCGCGUGGCUGGGAGGGGCUGCGCGCGGCCGGUUCACCACGUGAGAGCGGGUGCUGGCCCCACCCGCGUGUGCCACCCCCGGGGGAGGUCACCUUCACCGAGUUGUGGGAGUGGGCGCUGAGGCCUCUAUCCUGGAAAGCAGGAGCUGGCAGGGGUCGGAAUUAGGGCCUCAGAAGUGGCAUUCUCCUGGGGUACGGUUGGCGGGGACGCGCCUCUGGCGGUAGAGCUCACCCCGCUGGGCGAGCCCAGACCGAGUCCAGCUUGAGGGUGUGGGGCCGGGAGGGUGGGCCGAGGUGCGGCUCCGCGGCGCGGGGGACGGGGCGGUGCUCUGGGUGCUCGGGUGGGUAGUUGGAGCAUCCCCGGUGGGAGGGGGCGACUCUUAAAGGCACCGUGCGUUCGUUAGAAGGCUCUGCUUCCGCCCACAUGCUUUCUCCACCUUGUUGGGAUUAAGAGCUGGAAAUCCCUGUAUCUGAAUCUUCAGGAUUGCAGCCUGGGCGGUUCAUUGUUCAAAUGGUUGUCAGACUACCUGUGUUCAGGUCCUAGUGCUUCCUUUUGCUUAUCCUUAAAAUACAGAUAAUGCAGUUUUUCCCUCCUAGGUUUGUUUUUACAGAUCAAAUAGGAUUAAUGGAUGUAAACACACACCCCUGAUGUCUACUAUGUGUUCUGUUAAAGUUCGCUGGGACUAGAUUUCCCAAUAGUUACACAAGAACAGCAACGCAGAGCUGCCAGCAGCAUGAGAAAAAAAAAAGUUGGGAUGGGGAUGGAUUUAACAUUCAGAAAAGGUAUCAUAGUAGUGAUGAAAAAAAAUAAAACUUUCUUGAAGUUUCUAAAACUUUUCCACUUAAUAUUAAUUUUUUAAAAAAAUAAAUGACAUAUGUUGUGCAGAGCCCUCUCUUCAGUAUUUAGGAGGCCCUCCAGCAGGCUUUCCUUGACCCCUUAGCUGCCACUAUUAUUAUUCCAGUGUAUCUGGAUAGUUCUUAGACUUAGAUUGAUUUGGCCAGGGUUCUCAGCUGGAAAGAUGAGACAUCCAUUAGUCCACCAAUCUUUCCUCCCUCCCUUGUUCCAUACGUGGUGUAUCUUUCUGUUGAACACACAUUUUUUUUUUUAAGAGAGAGUGAGAGAGAAUUUUUUUUAAUAUUUAUUUUUUAGUUAUUGGCAGACACAACAUCUUUGUUUGUAUGUGGUGCUGAGGAUCGAACCCAGGCCACACGCAUGCCAGGCAAGCGCGCUACCGCUUGAGCCACAUCCCCAGCCCGAACACACAUAUUACUAUUCUGUAGGCCCACUGAAGGAUGUUGGGGAGCUCCAGAUUGUUCAAGUUUUGUCAGUCUAGGCCCCUAAAACAUCCCUGCUGUGUGGCCACCAGGACACAUUCACACAGACAAGAUGUCAUGAGAGUUCAAUGAGGAUGAUAUAUCUACACUUUUUAUUUUAAUUUUCCCUUAACAGACUAACCAGUAGGGUUACAGAACCCAGUUGGGUUACGGAAGUUUGCAAGAUAGAAUUUGGUUGUUUUGGGGUGGGUUUUUGUUGCUGCUGUUGUUUUGUACCAGAGAUUUAAUCCAGAGGUGCUUUAUUUUUUUUUAUUUUUUGAGACAGGGAUUCCCAAAAUUGCUUAGGACCUUGCUAAAUUGCUGAAGCUGACCUCAAACUUUAAAUCCGUCUGACUCAGCCUAUUAGUUGCUGGGAUUACAGGCAUGUGCCACCACAUCUGGCUCUGUAGAUACUUAAGAGAUACUUGGGGAUAACUGAAAGGACCAGAUGAACAAAUAAAACCCUUUCACUUAGUUGUGCUAUAAAGAAAAUAAAGCAAGGUAAUAGAGUGGAUGACUGAGAUUGAGGGGAUGAUGGAGAUUAGGGGUGAGUUUAGAUCUCAAAAAAGAUAAGGAAUCAUCUACAAAAAGAUCUGGGGCAGGGAGAACAUUCCAGGCAAAGGAAAGAGCAAAUGCAAGGGGAUGGAAAUGAGAAAGAAAUAGGGGUAAGGUAUUGAGGGAUAUUCCAGGCAUGGAAAGACUACAAAACCAGAGACCUUCUGUACCAGCCAUACACAGGAGCAACUGGAAAGACCUGGGGCCCCAGGGUAAUAUGGUGAUUAGGCCUUAGAAAAUUAUGUGGAGUCAGGGACUAAGUUUCUUAGUUGCAGGGUAUUAUAAUCAGAGUUGUUCGUUAGGUAGAUGGUUUCAUAUCUUGUGGAUGGAUUGGAGGAGUGAAAUUUGGAAAGGGAAAGAUCACAUAUUUUUUGAAACAAAAAAUAUGUGUACAGUCUUUGCUAUUCUAAUUCUUCCUCCCCUCCCCCAGUGAAGUGCAACUGUACCUAGUGGCUUGCUUCUGAUGAAUAGAAUGUGGCAGAAAUGAUGCUGUGUGACAUCUGUGAUAGGGCGCAGGUUUUGUGAUUUCCUCCUUGCUUUCUAUCUUGUAUUGUGUUUUCUGGGAGAAGCCAGCUGCCAUGUUGUGAGGACACACUCAAGCAGCCCUGUGCGAAAGCUCAAGUGGCAAGGGACUGGGGCCUUCUGCCAACAGCCAUGUGAGUGUGCCAUCUUGGAAUAGAUCCUCCAGCCCCUUUUUAAGUCAAACCUUUAGAGGACUUCGGCCCUGGCCGGCAUCUUCACUGUGGCCUCCUGGGAGACCCUUAGCUGGAACACCCAGCUAAACUCUUUCCAGAUUGAUGAUCUACAGAAACUGAGAUGGUGUUUGCUUUGUUAAGCCUCUAAGUUUGUGAAUAAUAUAUUAUGUAGCCAGUAGAUAUAGUAGAACCCACUUAUCCUAGGGGAUACCCCUCAAGACUCCCAGCAAAUGCUUAAAACUGUGGUUAGUACCAAACCCUGCAUUUAUAUUUUUUCCUGUGUAUUUGUUAAAUACACAAACUUAAUACCUUUUCCUUUAUCAUCAAGCACUUAUGCACUGUGGGUGUAAUUUUUGCAGUUUGAGGUGUAGAAGCAAAACUAGCAUGAAUUUCUUUUCCUUCUUCACAAUUUUCAUGGAUAGCUAGUUUGUUCUUACCAUAAAACUUAGCAACCUCAGCAAAUAAUUGUUUGUUUUUCCUUAUUAAGUUCAGAACAUUCACCUUUAGGAACAUUCAUUUAUAGGAAGCAUUUUGUGGCUUCUCCAAAUUUAGGGGAAAAAGAAUUUGGUGGGAUCCAUUGUCUUAAUGCCAAGAAAUACCCACUUUAUUAUUUUUUUUCUUGAAUAUUCUUUUAGUUGUAGAUGGACGUGAUACCUUUAUUUUAUUUAUUUAUUUUUAUGUGUGCUGAGGAUUGAACCCAGUGCUCACACGUGCUAGGCAAGCACUGUACCACUGAGCCACUAGCCAGCCCGGGCCCCACUUAUUAAUAAUUGGGGUUUUUUUUGUUUGUUUUCGUUUUGGGGGUUAUCGGGGAUUGAAUCCAGGUCCUCUCACAUGGUAGGCAAGCACUCUUUUUAUUUAUUUAUUUAUUUAUUUUUUAGGCAAGCAUUCUUUUUUUUUUUAAAAUAUUUAUUUAGUUAUCGGCAGACACAACAUCUUUGUUGGUAUGUGGUGCUGAGGAUCGAACCCAGGCCACAGGCAUGCCAGACGAUCGAUCGCACUACCGCUUGAGUCACAUCCCCAGCCCCCAGGCAAGCAUUCUUAACACUGAAAUAUACCCCCAAGCUUUUAUUGAGACAGUCUCAUUCAGUUGCCCAGGCUGGCCUUGAAUUUGCACUCCUCCUGCCUCAGCCUCCCAAAUAGCUGGGAUUACAGGUGUGUGCCACCAUGCCCAGCCCAAUUUGGUAUUUUUUUCCAGUUAUUUUUUUCUUUUGGCACAUCUUUUGUUUAGGUGUCUUCAUUUUGUUUCCAUAACUUCCAAUUAAAACGGUAGCUUGGGGCUGGAAUUGUGGCUCAGUGGCAGAGCACUUGCCUCGAAAGUAUGAGGCACUUAGUGGGGUUUGAUCCUCAGCACCACAUGAAAAUAAAUAAAUAAAUUAAAGGUAUUGUGUCCAUCUACAACUAAAAAAUUUUUUAAAAUGAUAACUUGUUCAUUUUUCCAUAUGGCUAGAAACUCCUCACUGGGUUUUCCUGUAAUUCUCAUAUAUGUGUGUGUGUGUGUGUGUGUGUGUGUGUGUGUGUAUAGUGAAUUUGUUCUCCAAGCCAUUUUAAAGUGCUUUGACAAAUAUGAAAACUUUGUAUUAAAGCUUGAUUCAUAUUUUAUCUAUGUAGAAGUGUCUUUAUUUUUUGUUAUUGCAAAAAUGCUAUAUUUUAGGGGCUGGGGUUGUGGCUCAGUGGUAGUACACUUGCCUUGCAUGUGUGAGGCACUGGGUUCGAUCCUCAGCACCACAUUAAAAAAACAAAAGAAAAGUUAUUUUUUACAAUGCUGUAUUUUAGUAAAUAAAGUCAGACUAUACUGAUUUAUAUAAAGUAAAAGUGAACAUCUGAGAAAAUAUCUGUACUCGAGAAAAAGGGCACUAUUUUAUUUAUUUUUUAGUUGUAGUUGAACACAAUACUCUUAUUUUAUUCAUUUUUACAUGGUGCUGAGGAUGGAACCCAGGGCCUUGCACGUGCAAGGUGAGCACUUGACCGCUGAGCCGCAACUCCAGCCGCAAGGGCAUAUUUUAAAUAAAUAUUAAUGAAAAUUGCCAGAAAUGUGAAUGCUUAUAACCCACGGUACAUGUAUAGUUGUUUUACACCAGUGGCUGAUGCUGUUGUGGUUUGCAGUAACCUGCUCUCCUCACAGCUCUUCUCUUUCCAUUUUGUGGCUAGGUUUGUUUCCAGGUCCACCUAGUGUUUAUUUGAGGGAUGCAGUCAGUCCCUUCUUCAAAGGGAUUUAGAUGGUUUUCCUCCUUUUUGACUGUUAUAAACAAUAGGUCAGAGAGCACCCUUAUGUACACAUUUUUGUGCCCUUGUCUGUUAUUUCUUUAGGAUAAAUGCACUGAAGAGACUCCGCAGCCUCAACACGUACACAUUUAAACUGGAGGAUCCCAGACACACCAGGCUUGGCCUAUUCAGGGCCCUGGUACGUGCUGUCUCCCUUGCCUGGAAAACUUUCCACCUCAUUCCUACCCGGCUCGCGCACCUCCUCAUUUUAGACUCAGCUCAAACAGGCUCCCCAGAGAGAUCUGCUCUGGCCACUCUCUGCUGCUGUUCCCCCAUCUUCCUCUCAGGAACACAGAAUUGCUCAGUCUCUGAUAUGUUCUCAUUGUUGGCCAUGACUGGCUCAUUUUAUACAUAAUAUAAUAAAUAUAAAUCAGACACUCGAUACAAGAACUGAAACAUCAUCGUAACUUUCCUUCUCCCAUUAACUCCUUUCCUGUCUUGCCAUCUGCCUCCCCUUACCUGAGGCAAUGUCUACCCCAAAUCUUCUUUAACAUCUUUAAAGAACAUAACAGCUUUAUUGAGAUAUAAUUUACAUACCACAGUGUUCACCCACUUACAGUGCAUCAUUCAGUGGCUUUUAGUAUAUUUACAGAGUUGUGUAACCAUCACAGUAGAUUUUAGAAUAUUUUCAUCUUUCAUCAUUAGCAGUCACUCCCCCAUCUGCUCUGCAGCCCUUCUAAUCCCAGCUCUAGGCAACCACUAAUCUACUAUCUGUCUCUAUGGAUUUGCUUAUUCUGAACAUUUCAUGUAAACAGAAUCAUGCAAGUUGUCGCCUUUUGGGACUGACUGCUUUCAUUUAACAUCCUCUUUUCUGGAUUUAUGGUGUUGUAGUAUAUAUCAGAACUGAAUUCCUUUUUCUUGCCAAAUAAUAUUUCAUUGUGUGGAUAUACCACAGUUUCUUUACCAGUUAGCCAGUUAAUGAACAUUUGUGUUGUUUCGACGUUACAGCCAUUGUGAAUAAUGUUGCUAUGAAUAUUCAUAUGCAAGUUUUUGUGUGUCACACGUUUUCAUUUCCUUUGGGUAUAUACCUAGGAGUGCAAUUGCUAGGUCAUAUGGUAACUCUGUUUAGCCUUUUGAGCACCUGCCAAAGCAACUGCAUCAUCUUAAAUUCUAGCCAGCAGUUUAUGAGGUUACAAUUUCCUCUUUUGGGGCUGGGGAUGUGGCUUAAGUGGUAACGUGCUCUCCUGGCAUGCGCAGGGCCCUGGGUUCGAUCCUCAGCACCACAUAAAAUAAAGAUGUUGUGUCCACCGAAAACUGAAAAAUAAAUAUUAAAAAAACUCUCUCUCUCUCUCUCUCUCCCCCCCUCUCCCUCUCCUCUCUCUCUCUCUAAAAAAAAAAAAAAAACAAUUUCCUCUUUCACUUACUUUUAAAAAUAUACACUUAUUAUUAUUAGAGCUUGAUAGUUAUACAUAGUAGUUGAUUUCAUCUCCACAAACUCAUAUAUGCAUGGAAAUCAAUUCCCCUCCCCCAUCUUUUCCCUCUCACUAAAAAUAUACACUUUCUUAGCCUGGUGCCAUGGCAUAGGCCUGUAAUCCUAGCAGCUCAGGAGGCUGAGGCAGGAGGAUCACAAGUUCAAAACCAGCCUCAGCAAAAGCAAGGCACUAAACAAUUCAGUGAGACCCUAGCUCUAAAAAAUAUACUAAAUAGGGCUGGGGAUAUGGCUCAGUAGUAGAGUACCCCCUGUACAAAAAUAAAAAUUAUACACACACACACACACACACACACACUUUCUUAAAAAUGUGUUGUCUUGGAGCUGGGGCUGGGGCUCAGUGGUAAUGCACUUGCCUGGCAUAUUUGAGGCACUGGGUUUGAUUCUCAGCACCACAUAUAGAUAAAUAAAAAUAAAGGUCUAUCAACAACUAAAAAAAAAUUUUUUUUAAAGUGUUGUCUUUAGUUUUAGCAAAAGGAUAUCAUACUUCAUGCAGUAUCUCCUCUUUGCUUUCUCAGUGUUCAUCCACCUCUGAACCCCUUUUGAUAUUAUCAGAUGUCUUCAUUUUUCCCUGUAUAAUUCUCUCACCACUCUUUUUUCUUCAUAGUACUUGUCAUAUUCUGAAUUAUUUUCUUUGUUUGCUGCUUGCUGCCUGUCUUCUCUCCACUAGAGUGUCUGCUCUAAGAGGGUGAGAGUUUUGACUUUUUUUUUUUUUUUUGUUUUAUUGCUCUAACCCGAGGACAGUGUCUGGCAUUGUAUGCUGAACCUGGCCUCUACCACAGGCACGCCCAGCCCAGCAUGCCUCCUUAAAGCUUUCCAACUUACAUCUUCCUUCCUUCCUGCCCGCCUUCCCUUCUUUCCUCUUCCUAUUUUUUUUUUUUUUUUGGUAUGGUACAGGGUGUUGAAUCCACACUUAGGUACAUCACCAGUCCUUUUUUUGAGACAAGGUCUUGCUAAGUAAGUUGCCCAGGCUGGCCUUGAACUUGGGAUCCUCCUGUCUCAGCUUCCUGAGUAGCUGGGGUAGCCCUGCUCCCUCUCUAUACUUUCACUAUGUUGCCAUAGUCUGGCCAUGAACUACUGGGCUCAAGCCAUCUUCCUGCCUCAGCCUCCCCUGUAGAUGGGUUCACAGGCUCCUGGUGCUGUGCCAGGCUUUCCAUAUUUCUUUAGAAUGUGUGCUCAUUUGACACCUGGGCAGAUAAUUUUUUUUAACAUCCACCUCCUCUAAAUAAUAUUAUUUUCAGUAACAGCCAUGAAAUACAGUGAAUUAAUACUAGUGAUAAUGACCAGAAAAGAAAUAUACAUGGAACCCUUUUAUUGAACUUGGUAUAUAGACUUUUUUUUUUUUAGUUGUAGUCGUACACGAUAUAUUUAUUUAUUUAUUUAUUUAUUUAUUUUUAUGUGGUGGUGAGGAUCGAACCCAGGGCCUCACACAUGCUAUGUGAGCACUUUGCCACUGAGCUACAGCCCCAGCCUGGUAUAUAGACUCUUGCCAGUAAAAAUAAAUAUUACAGUGCAAAAAGCAGAACAGAGCUAAUAGAUCAAUACUUUUCAAUUACCUUAAUGUAUUUAUUUGAAGAAAUUGUAAAACAUACACACAUGGUGGCCUGUUGCAAUAAUAAUUCAUUAAUUAUGUUAUACUUUAAAAGCAAGUGAGAAAAAUAUCAAUUGAAAAAUAAGAGAUGCAGCCUGGGGAUAUAGCUUAGAGAUGGAGUACUUGCCUAGCAUAAUGUGUGAAGCUCGGAAUUCAGUCUCCAGUGGAACACACGCACACACACACACUAGGGCUGGGGGUGUGGCUGAGUGCUUACCUAGCAUGCACACAAGGCCCUGGGCUAAAUUCCCAGCAAAACAAAAACAAAAUGAAAGAGCCGUACCAGACAGGCAGGUAGCACAACCCUGUAAUCCCAGCUUCUCAGGAGCCUGAGGCAGGAGGAUUGCAAGUUUGAGGCUAGCCUGGGAAAUUUGGUGAGAACCUACCUCAAACAAGGCUAGAGAUGCAGCUGGAUGGUAGAGUGCCCCUGGGUUCAAUCCCUAGUACCACAAUCAAUCAAUCAGUCAAUCAAUGAGCUGGGCGGGGGUAGUAACUCAGGGUUCUGGGUUCGGUCCCUAGCACUGCAAAAUAAGUAAUAAGAGCCAAUUUCAAUAUUAAAUAUAUUCCAAUUUGAUAGUAGAGCAUAAGUUUACUAAACAGUAAUAGUAUAGUAUGAUCUUACUAAGUCAUAGUUACCACAUUUUCGAGUUUGUCUUUUCACUGUUUUAAAAUUUUAUUUAUUUAUUUAUUUUUUAAUAUUUUUAGUUGUUGAUGGAUCUUUAUUUUAUUUAUUGGUAUGUGGUGCUGAAAAUUGAACCCAGUGCCUCAUGCAUGCUAGGCAAGCGCUCUACCACUGAGCCACAACCCCAGCCCUGUUUUAAAAUUUUAAAUAGCAAAUUUCCAAGUGGUCACAUGAAAUGACAGUAUUGGCAACUCAAGUUCUGCUCUUUCAAAAGUCACUGUGCUGUCAUUGUUUUGGAUCUGUUGUUUAAACACAGACAUGUGUGGUACCAAAGGCGAUGGAGACACGACUGUGCAGGAGACGGCCUGAACAAUUCUGAACUGUUGGGGACUUACUCUCAAAAUGAAUGCAGACAGUUGAUUCUGGCUCCCUGGGUGUUAGGGCUGACUGUAUAACUGGGAAUGCUUUGAAUUAACUUCCUUGUAGAAGGCUUAUUACUGCAUAAGUAAUUAAAGUGUUCUGAUUUAAAGCUUACAAAUAUAUCAUUAAAACUCAAGCUAGACCAACAACUUGAUCUUCUUUGGGGAGGAGUAUUUUAUCACCAACAUGGUUUAGAAUUGUGGUUGCAUGGUGAUAAUAAAAAGCAGACUAACUUUCAAUCACUUUUAUUAUUCUCUGUAAUUCUCUGCAGACAGUGCACCCUGUCAAGGCCUGUGCAGCCCCACCGGGUACCCACUGCAGAGCAUCAAGGGACUCCUGCAGUUACCACUUCAGUUGUGCCACAAGGCCAGAGGACUCACCCGGUUUCCACUCUCACCAUUGUAUUCCCAGCACCUAGUGGAGCUUGGCACUAUGUAGGCUCUCAAUAUCUGUUCAGUCUCUGGGUACGGUGGUAUACACGUGUAAUCCCAGCGGUUCGGAAGGCUAAGGCAGGAGGAUCACAAGUUCAAAGCCAGCCUCAGCAACUUAGUGAGGUCCUGAGCAACUUGGCAUAGACUGGUAUAGACUCUGUCUCAACGUGAAAUAUAAAAAGGGCUGGGGGGCUGGGAUUGUGGCUCAGCGGUAGAGCACUUGCCUAGCACGUUCGAGGCCCUGGGUUCGAUCCUCAGCACCACAUAAAAAUAAAUGAAUAAAAUAAUGGUACAGUGUCAACUACAACUAAAAAAUAUUUUUAAAAAAAUAAAUAAAUGAAAAUUAAAAGGGCUGGGGGUGUGCUUCGGUGGUUAAGCAUCCCUGGGUUCAAUCCCUGGUAGAAAAAAAUAUAUCUGUUCAGGGAAGGAAAGAAGACACCAACUCAGGUGAGCUAGACUCCCCCCCACCUCCAACUAUGUCUAACUCCAGAAGGACCCAUCUUCAAACAAGUGAACCAGUGUUUUCCUCAGAGACAUUCAGAAUGAAAAGACAAGGUCGGUUGGUCCGUCUCUCUUUUCUCUCUCUCCCUCUCUCUCUUUCUCUUAAAUUCAUCUAAAUUUCUUCAUUUAAACAAAUUCAGAGGCUAUGAUAAUAAGUGUGUUAUAAGACCCUUUCUUUUUAUUAAAUGAUAGUAUAGAACUAUUUAUAUAAAUAAAUAGCUAUAUUUAUUUAUAUGCAGCACUGGGGAUUGAAUCCAGGUCUCAUGCACCAUUAGGGAAGCACUCUUUCUGUGAGUUACACCCUUAGCCCUCAUAGGUAGCUACUGAGCACUUGAAAUGUGGCUAGUAUGAAUUGAAAUGAUGCUGUAGUGCAGAAUACACAUUGGCUUUCACAUAUUAUUAUUAAAAAAAAAGUAACAUAACCAGGAGCCGUGGCGCACGCCUGUAAUCCCAGCAGCUCCAGAGGCUGAGGCAGGGGAAUCACGAGUUCAAAGUCACCCUCAGCAACGGUGAGGGGCAAAGCAACUCAGUGAGACCCUGUCUCUAGAUAAAAUACAAAAUAGGCUGGGGAUGGGGCUCAAUGGUUAAGUGCCCCUGAGUUCAAUUCCCGGUACAAAAAUAAAUAAAUAAAUAAAAAAUAAGUUCUGUUUAUAUAUUUCUAUUGAUUACACGUUGAGAAUAUAUUUUGGAUAUAUAUCACGUUUACUGAACUUACAUGUAAUUAAUAGUAGUCAUUAGCAAGUAAUGAUUAAUAAAG
rnacentral:lncRNA from 1 species